UGCGUGGGCGCAAGCCUGACCGCCUGCCGCGGGGAUGAUGAAGGCCCUAGGGUUGUAAAGUCCUUUUAACGGGGAAGAUAAUGACGGUACCCGUAGAAUAAGCCCCGGCUAACUUCGUGCCAGCAGCCACGGUAAUACGAAGGGGGCUAGCGUUGCUCGGAAUUACUGGGCGUAAAGCGCACGUAGGCGGGUCGAUAAGUCGGGGGUGAAAUCCUGGAGCUCAACUCCAGAACUGCCUUCGAAACUGUCGAUCUUGAGUUCGGGAGAGGUGAGUGGAACUGCGAGUGUAGAGGUGAAAUUCGUAGAUAUUCGCAAGAACACCAGUGGCGAAGGCGGCUCACUGGCCCGAUACUGACGCUGAGGUGCGAAA
rnacentral:rRNA from 1 species